GGAACCCUCCUAAUAUCAUCCCACCAAGGUAGAUAGGAACCCUCCAAAUAUCAAUCCACCAAGGAAGAGAGGAACCCUCCAAAUAUCAUCCCACCAAGGUAGAUAGUAGCCCUCCCAAUAUCAUCCCACCAAGGUAGAUAGGAACCCUCCCAAUAUCAUCCCACCAAGGUAGAUAGGAACCCUCCCAAUAUCAUCCCACCAAGGUAGAUAGGAACCCUCCAAAUAUCAUCCCACCAAGGUAGAUAGGAACCCUCCCAAUAUCAUCCCACCAAGGUAGAUAGGAACCCUCCCAAUAUCAUCCCACCAAGUUAGAUAGGAACCCUCCCAAUAUCAUCCCACCAAGGUAGAUAGGAACCCUCCCAAUAUCAUCCCACCAAGGUAGAUAGGAACCCUCCAAAUAUCAUCCCACCAAGGUAGAUAGGAACCCUCCCAAUAUCAUCCCACCAAGGUAGAUAGGAACCCUCCCAAUAUCAUCCCACCAAGGUACAGUAGAUAGGAACCCUCCAAAUAUCAUCCCACCAAGGUAGAUAGGAACCCCCCCAAUAUCAUCCCACCAAGGUAGAUAGGAACCCUCCCAAUAUCAUCCCACCAAGGUAGAUAGGAACCCUCCCAAUAUCAUCCCACCAAGGUAGAUAGGAACCCUCCAAAUAUCAUCCCACCAAGGUAGAUAGGAACCCUCCCAAUGUCAUCCCACCAAGGUAGAUAGGAACCCUCCCAAUAUCAUCCCACCAAGGUAGAUAGGAACCCUCCCAAUAUCAUCCCACCAAGGUAGAUAGGAACCCUCCAAAUAUCAUCCCACCAAGGUAGAUAGGAACCCUCCCAAUAUCAUCCCACCAAGGUAGAUAGGAACCCUCCAAAUAUCAUCCCACCAAGGUAGAUAGGAACCCUCCCAAUAUCAUCCCACCAAGGUAGAUAGGAACCCUCCCAAUAUCAUCCCACCAAGGUAGAUAGGAACCCUCCAAAUAUCAUCCCACCAAGGUAGAUAGGAACCCCCCCAAUAUCAUCCCACCAAGGUAGAUAGGAACCCUCCCAAUAUCAUCCCACCAAGAUAGAUAGGAACCCUCCCAAUAUCAUCCCACCAAGGUAGAUAGGAACCCUCCAAAUAUCAUCCCACCAAGGUAGAUAGGAACCCUCCCAAUAUCAUCCCACCAAGGUAGAUAGGAACCCUCCCAAUAUCAUCUCACCAAGGUAGAUAGGAACCCUCCAAAUAUCAUCCCACCAAGGUAGAUAGGAACCCUCCCAAUAUCAUCCCACCAAGGUAGAUAGGAACCCUCCCAAUAUCAUCCCACCAAGGUAGAUAGGAACCCUCCCAAUAUCAUCCCACCAAGGUAGAUAGGAACCCUCCCAAUAUCAUCCCACCAAGGUAGAUAGGAACCCUCCAAAUAUCAUCCCACCAAGGUACAGUAGAUAGGAACCCUCCCAAUAUCAUCCCACCAAGGUACAGUAGAUAGGAACCCUCCCAAUAUCAUCCCAUCAAGGUAGAUAGGAACCCUCCCAAUAUCAUCCCACCAAGGUAGAUAGGAACCCUCCCAAUAUCAUCCCACCAAGGUAGAUAGGAACCCUCCAAAUAUCAUCCCACCAAGGUAGAUAGGAACCCUCCCAAUAUUACCCCACCAAGGUACAGUAGAUAGGAACCCUCCCAAUAUCAUCCCACCAAGGUAGAUAGGAACCCUCCCAAUAUCAUCCCACCAAGGUAGAUAGGAACCCUCCCAAUAUCAUCCCACCAAGGUAGAUAGGAACCCUCCCAAUAUCAUCCCAUCAAGGUAGAUAGGAACCCUCCCAAUAUUAUCCCACCAAGGUAGAUAGGAACCCUCCAAAUAUCAUCCCACCAAGGUAGAUAGGAACCCUCCAAAUAUCAUCCCACCAAGGUAGAUAGGAACCCUUCCAAUAUCAUCCCACCAAGGAAGAUAGGAACACUCCCAAUAUCAUCCCACCAAGGUACAGUAGAUAGGAACACUCCCAAUAUCAUCCCACCAAGGUACAGUAGAUAGGCACCCUCCAAAUAUCAUCCCACCAAGGUACAGUAGAUAGUAGCCCUCCCAAUAUCAUCCCAACAAGGUAGAUAGGAACCCUCCAAAUAUCAUCCCACCAAGGUACAGUAGAUAGGAACCCUCCCAAUAUCAUCUCAUCAAGGUAGAUAGGAACCCUCCCAAUAUCAUCCCAUCAAGGUAGAUAGGAACCCCCCCAAUAUCAUCCCACCAAGGUAGAUAGGAACCCCCCCAAUAUCAUCCCACCAAGGUAGAUAGGAACCCUCCCAAUAUUAUCCCACCAAGGUACAGUAGAUAGGAACCCUCCCAAUGUCAUCCCACCAAGGUACAGUAGAUAGGAACCCUCCCAAUAUCAUCCCACCAAGGUAGAUAGGAACCCUCCCAAUGUCAUCCCACCAAGGUAGAUAGGAACCCU